UGUUUUCUGUAACAUGUGGCCUUACUUAAGAGGCAUCCUGGAACUCUUUCAUUUGCUUGUUAUAGAACUCCAUUCAAAAAGCUACUAAUAGGAAUGGGCAACUGAUUUGUAGAGAGUUCAGUUAGGACUGCAGAUAAAGAGGUCCAUGCCUGGCGAGCUUCUGCUAAACCAGAUGAGCCCCGAUUAAGGACAAAUACUCCAAGUUGAAGGUAUAACUCCACAAAGCAAUUGAUAUGCCAUGUCAAAAGAACAAGAAGAUCACUUUUUAAGGACUUAUUGAGUGGGAAGUUCCAGGAGAAAAUGUUGCAGUAAUGACCUUAGAAUUAUAGAAUCACAGAAUUGGAAGAGACCACAUGGCCUCGCCCUGGAUGUUUCCACGGCAACGGAGAGCCGGUUCCCCAGGCAACGGAGAGACGCUUCCUCGCGGCGCCAUGGCUGCCAAGAAGGCCAAGGAGAGGGAGAAAGAGAAGGAGAAAGAGAAGGAAAGUGCCCCUGCGUCCGUGCCAUCUCAGGAAGAUGACAUUGUUGCUAAAGAUGAAGAGGAAAUGGCUUGGAAAUUUCUUUCUCUUGAAGAGGUUACUGCACUUUUGGAACUGGAUAUAGUUGGAGUUCAAAAAGCCUUGGAAGAAUUUCUAAAUUUGAAACAUCGAUUGACAUCUUUGAAAGAGGCUGUGAUACUGGAUUAUUACAUCUCAGGAUUUUUGUGGGCUAAAUCAUUAGAAUUCACUUCUGUGCAACUUGGAGGAUUCCUGACUCUGUUAAAUUUGCUGAUCGAGAACAUUGACAGCCAACAUAUGACACUGGAACAGAACACCCAAGAACUUAUGAAUGCAAUGGCAGGAAUUGGACAGUGUAAUCCCAAAAAAAGUGGUGGGUUUGAGUUCUUCACUGUAGACCAAGCCAAGGCUAUAAUAAAUUAUUUGAAGAUCAGCUUAUUUCAACAUUAUUCUCUGUAUCAGUAUCUUUUCCACAGUCCCAGGGAAGAACUUGUGAUUGGAGACGAGAACAUAGUAGAACUAGUGAAGCCUGCAGACAGCCCUUUCCCUGCUCCCUUGGAAGAAGGUCUGCCUUAUGAGAUUUAUUCUAAAUUUAUCAUAUCAGGCCCAGAGACAGAAGAGGAAAUCAAGGAGAUGGAUGAAGACUAUCCAGAAGAAGAACCUGAGCCUGAAAGCGUGAUAGAUCCUUUGGUGGGUUAUACCAUAGAGGAUGUCCAGUCAGUACUUGGUGUAAUUACCAAUGAAAUGAUCAGCGUUGUUCAGUCUGAGAUAAAUGAAAAGCUACAAACGCAGGAAGAGGCCUAUUCUACAAGAAUAGACAAGCUGAAGAAAAUCUGAAAAAUGAAAACCUUCUGCAAACUGAUUGAUGACAGUGCCUCACACAGAUUAUCUAGAUGCAUUUUAUUUCUGAAGGCUGUGUGGCCAUGUUCCAAAAGUAUUCUCACCUGACGUUUCGCCCACAUCUAUGGCAGGCAUCCUCAGAGGUUGUGAGGUAUGGAUAAACUAAGUAAGGAAAGGAAAGAAUAUAUAUAUAUAUAUAUCCAUAUAUACACAGAUAUAUAUUCUUUCCCCAAACUUGUCAUCUGAAGCUGCUGCCCCCCAUAUCUUAGCUAUUCUCCGUCCCAUAUAAUUUCUGUAUAAUUUUCUUUGUGUGCAGUGGCAAACAAUGUUGAUCUGAUGUAGACAAUGUGCCAUCCUAUUCCUUCAAGACUUCAAAAAUCACAAGUGCAAGUACAAUAUUAUGUGUUGGGGGUUUUGUCUUUCAUUUUCUUUUGUGGCAUUUUUGUGAUGAUUCAGCAUGAAUUUUCAGCAAGCUAGCCACAACCCCUCUCCCUUUUAUCCAGGUUUCUCUGGGAUUUUAGGGCCUGUGUAAGGCCCUAAAAUUAAGGAUUAAAAUUUCCCUAAACAAAAUGAACACCAAACUCCUCACACAGUUGGAGAGAGAGAGAAGAAAGGGGCAGCCAGUCAGCUUAGGUUGCAAUACUUAAAGUUCUCAUGCUCACUCUCUGGAGGGAGAAUGGAUUGGACUGCUAAGCCAUCCAGGUGAGUGGUAAUACUGACAAAGGCUAUUGGUUGAUGAAUUUAUGCA